ensembl:lincRNA Gm42945 predicted gene 42945
GAGCAUUCUCAGGUCAUGCACCAAUGCCUCCUGCUCAACAACAAUUUGUUAAAACAGCUUCCGAGUGUGAACCGAGGUGGACUGAGCUAUUGCUUUCAAGGGACAUUGCACAGCUCUCUGGGGACAAGUGUCCUGCCCAACCCCUUCUUAGAGGUCCCAGCAUAAAUGUUCUGCUCCAGUUAUGGGGAGGAAGCGGCAGCCAACGUGUCAACAGGUCUGGAAAACCAGAGAGACAAAUAAAGGAAGACCUGAAGUCAGAUGGAGAUGGGGAGUGAGAGUUAUGAAAUUUUCAAGCUCAUUUUUAUCAUCUACAAACCUUCCCAUAAACUCUGUCCCAGGUGGCUGGGCAAACACUUGAGCCUUGAAAUGAAAUCUUGGAGUUAUUCCGUCACUCACACAGACUAAAUCCAUCCUGAAUUGUGUAAUAAACUUUAGCCUUUGGCA